CCGAAUGAUUUAGGUCUGCAGAAUGUCAGAAGUAUUGAAACAAGGUUGAUUUAAUGAUAAUCAAUUUCUUAGCUGAGCUGACCUUAGGUUUGGGACAUUCUCCUGCUGAGGACCAAGCGAUUGCUAGUUUCCAGUUUCCUAUAAUAGGCCGCUGUGCUUUGAGGAAUUCAUGAUGGAGCAAACUGUACGGCGGAGGGCGCUCUCAAGAGGAUUCGGAGGUCAAGGACGUGUCUCUGGUUUUUUGUAACUCUGCUACAAGCUCAUGACAUUCAUUGCGGUUCUUAUUUUAACCAGAGGAUUUACACUGCAGAUGAGAUCUGACUGUAUUACACAAUUGGUAGCAGAGGAGCAAUCUACAGAGCUACAGCGUUCUCAGUAACACAAAUUACAAAGCUUCAACUUAAUGUUGGCAUUUUGGGAUUAUUUUUGAAAUAUACAAACCAUUUUAUUAAAAAUACCCCCUCAGUUUCUUUGGUUUAAUCGUGUGUUUGCGUGAAUUAAAAAAAUUUAAAAUAAAUAAACUCAGCUGGAGUGUUCCCUGCCCCAAAAAGCCUAAUCUAUACAUGUUCCUACUUCACAUGUUUAUGUUGGGUGGUAGGACAUGAAAAGGCUGUUUUUCUGGCAUCACUUAUGUACAACCAGUUCGCAUCAGUUCGCAUCUAAUUGUUCCCAUGGAGACCCACUGAACUCAACAUCCCACUCUUUGCUGCUGUGACCUUUGGUGAUUUUUUUCCUUUCUUUUAACCUCGACUGCCAUGCAGCUCAUUGUAUUUGGUGGUGAGAUAGCGAUAUGUCAUUGUCCAGCCUACAGCAGGUUAUAAAAAUGGACAUCUGUGUCACUUUAUAUUAAAAGAGGCGGUAUUGUGUAAAAAUGACUUUUCUGAGCUUUACAUCAUGUUAUUCUAUUCCCUCAUCAAAAACAUACCUGACAUGUUGCCUUGAUUCUAUCGUGUAUAUUUGAGAAAUCCUCUAAUCUCCCAUGGCAACCAUUUAGCCAGUGGAAUGAAGG